rnacentral:rRNA from 1 species
UACGGAAGGCAGCAGUGGGGAAUAUUGCACAAUGGGCGCAAGCCUGAUGCAGCCAUGCCGCGUGUAUGAAGAAGGCCUUCGGGUUGUAAAGUACUUUCAGCGGGGAGGAAGGCGAUGCGGUUAAUAACCGCGUCGAUUGACGUUACCCGCAGAAGAAGCACCGGCUAACUCCGUGCCAGCAGCCGCGGUAAUACGGAGGGUGCAAGCGUUAAUCGGAAUUACUGGGCGUAAAGCGCACGCAGGCGGUCUGUUAAGUCAGAUGUGAAAUCCCCGGGCUUAACCUGGGAACUGCAUUUGAAACUGGCAGGCUUGAGUCUGUAGAGGGGGUAGAAUUCCAGGUGUAGCGGUGAAAUGCGUAGAGAUCUGGAGGAAUACCGGUGGCGAAGGCGGCCCCUGGGACAAAGCUGACGCUCAGGUGCGAAAGCGUGGGGAGCAAACAGGGAUUAGAUACC